rnacentral:rRNA from 1 species
CUGCUGCCUUCCGUAGGAGUUUGGGCCGUGUCUCAGUCCCAAUGUGGCCGUUCACCCUCUCAGGCCGGCUACUGAUCGUCGGUUUGGUGGGCCGUUACCCCGCCAACUGCCUAAUCAGACGCGGAUCCAUCUCACACCACCUCAGUUUUUCACACUGUCCCAUGCGAGACUGUGCGCUUAUGCGGUAUUAGCAGUCAUUUCUAACUGUUAUCCCCCUGUGUGAGGCAGGUUAUCCACGCGUUACU